UACGUAGGUGGCAAGCGUUGUCCGGAUUUACUGGGUGUAAAGGGCGUGUAGCCGGGCUGACAAGUCAGAUGUGAAAUCCGGGGGCUCAACCCCUGAACUGCAUUUGAAACUGUUGGUCUUGAGUAUCGGAGAGGCAGGCGGAAUUCCUAGUGUAGCGGUGAAAUGCGUAGAUAUUAGGAGGAACACCAGUGGCGAAGGCGGCCUGCUGGACGACAACUGACGGUGAGGCGCGAAAGCGUGGGGAGCAAACAGG
rnacentral:rRNA from 1 species